rnacentral:tRNA from 1 species
GCCCUCGUAGCUCAGAGGAAAGAGCACUGGUUUCCUAAACCAGGCGCGCAGGUUCGAAUCCUGCCGGGGGUG